rnacentral:lncRNA from 1 species
UUAUUUGGCAAAUUUCCAAAAUAACACAUUUCUAAGUUUAUAUCACAAAAAUAGCACUCAAAAACAAAAAUGACCAAAAUAGCACCUUUCUAAGUUUAUCCUUUGAAAAUUUUAAUUUUUUUAUUUUUCAAAAUUUGAAAUCUUAUCCCCAAAACCUCAUUUCUCAACUCUAAACCCUAAACCCUAAACUCUAAAUCCUAAACCCUAAAUCCUAAACCCUAAACCCUAAACUCUAAACCCUAAACCCUGAAAUUUAAACCCUAAACCCUAAACCCUAAACCUUAAAUCCUAAACCCCACCCUUUAACUUUAAACCCUAAGUUUAUGACUUUUGAUAAAACAUUAAGUGCUAUUUUUGUGACUUUUGACC